ACAGCGUCUUGCUCUGUUGUCCAGGCCAGAGUGCAGUGGCAGAAUCAUAGCUCACUGCAGCCUUGAACUCCUGAGCUCAAGUGAUCCUCCCACCUCAGCCUCCCAAAAUGCUGAGAUUACAGGUGUCACACCACAUCUGGCCUUGCACUAAGUCUUUGAAACACGGUAUAUAUUUCAGCACAUUUCAAGUGCUCACUAGCCCCAUGUGCAUAAUAGCUACUGUAUUUUGGUUUGGGUUUCGGCUUUAUUUGAGAUAGAGUCUGGCUCUACCACCCAGGUUGGAGGGCAGUGGCGCAAUCACAGCUCUCUGGAGCCUCAACCACCCUGGGCUCAAGCAGUCCUCCCACCUCAGCCUCCUGAGGAGCCAGAACUACAGGCACGCACCACAACACACAGCUAAUUUUUUCAUUUUUGUGUAGAGUUGGGGGUCUUGCUAUGUUGCCCAGGCUGGUCUCGAACUCUUGGCUCCAAACAGUCCUCCCACCUCAGCCUCUCAACAUGCUGGAAUUACAGGCGUGAGCCACUGCACCUGGCCGCUACCGUAUUAAGUAGUAUAGAUCUGGAGGAUCUCUAUCCUUCUGACCAGAAGGGUAUGGAGGGCAAGAAACAAGGUUCAUAUUUUUUUCUCAAGUAAUAUGUAUAAAACUAAAAGAUAGCUGUGAGGCUUGAAGUAAUUCCAACAGAUCUUGUAUGCUUCCUGUCCUUACUUAGAUUAAUGCAUUGCUUAGUGUCAGAUUUCAUGUGGCACAAGGGUGAGGGACACAUGCAUCCAUCUAAACAUAUAACUUAUUCCAUGUGGAUCUCCUAGGGAAUAUGGAUAAAAGCUUUCCCUUUCCAAACUGCAUUUCCUAGAGUCUUAAGAACAUAUGAGUAAUCUUUCGAUGAAUGGUUCUUCUAACAAUGUAAAGAGUAGUUUUAAAAAUAGCUAUCAUUGGCCCAGCCCAGUGGCUCACUCCUGUAAUCCCAGCACUUUGGGAGGCCAAGGCGGGAGGAUCAUGAGGUCAGGGGAUGGAGACCAUCCUGGCCAACAUGGUGAAAGCCUAUCUCUACUAAAAAUACAAAAAAAAAAAAAAAAAAAAAUUAGCUGGGCAUGGUGGCGUGCACUUGUAGUCCCAGCUACCCGGGAGGCUGAAGCAGAAGAAUUGCUUGAACCUGGGAGGCAGAGCUCGCAGUGAGCUGAUAGCACGCCACUACACUCCAGCCUUGGCAACAAAGCAAGACUGUGUCAAAAAAAAAAAAAAAAAAAAAGCCAGGCGCGGUGGCUCACGCCUGUAAUCCCAGCACUUUGGGAGGCCGAGGCAGGCAGAUCACUUGAGGUCAGGAGUUCGAGACCAGCCUGACCAACAUGGUGAAACCCCAUCUCUACAAAAAAUACAAAAAUUAGGGCUCACUUUGGCAGCACAUAUACUACAAUUGUGAACGAUACAGAGAAGAUUAGCAUUGGCCCCUGCCCAAGGAUGACACACAAAUUCGUGAAGCGUUCCAUAUUUUGCACAGUCUGGGAAGAUCAUUUCAGUAUCUGCUAACUAGCACUAAGGAAAUAGUGUGAAUCUAAGCAAAAACGGGUGGCACCCAAUGACAAAAUUGUGGUUUUCAUUAAAAAAAAAAAAAAAUUAGCCAGGUAUGGUGGCACACGCCUGUAAUCCCAGCUACUCGGGAGGCUGAGGCAGGAGAAUCGCUCGAACCCAGGAGGUGGAGGUUGCGGUGAACUGAGAUCACACCACUGCACUCCAGCCUGGGUGACAGAGUAAGACUCUGUCAAAAAAAAUAUAUAUAUAUAAUAAAUAUAUUAUAUAUAUUUAUAUGUUUUUAUAUAUAUUAUAUAUAUU
rnacentral:lncRNA from 1 species